UACGUAGGGACCAAGCGUUGUUCGGAUUUACUGGGCGUAAAGGGCGCGUAGGCGGAUCUUUAAGUCGGGGGUGAAAGCCCAGGGCUCAACCCUGGAAUUGCCUUCGAUACUGAAGAUCUCGAGACCGGAAGAGGUAAGUGGAACUGCGAGUGUAGAGGUGAAAUUCGUAGAUAUUCGCAAGAACACCAGUGGCGAAGGCGGCUUACUGGUCCGGUUCUGACGCUGAGGCGCGAAAGCGUGGGGAGCAAACAGG
rnacentral:rRNA from 1 species